rnacentral:rRNA from 1 species
AUCAACUUUCGAUGGUAGGAUAGAGGCCUACCAUGGUGGUAACGGGUAACGGGGUGUUAGGGCACGACACCGGAGAGGGAGCCUGAGAAACGGCUACCACAUCCAAGGAUGGCAGCAGGCGCGCAAAUUACCCAAUCCCGACACGGGGAGGUAGUGACAAUAAAUAACAAUACGGGGUUCUUUCGGAUUUCGUAAUUGGAAUGAGUACAAUUUAAAUCUCUUAACGAGGAACAAUUGGAGGGCAAGUCUGGUGCCAGCAGCCGCGGUAAUUCCAGCUCCAAUAGCGUAUAUUAAAGUUGUUGCAGUUAAAAAGCUCGUAGUUGAAUUUCGGGAUCAAUACGUCGGUCGUGCCUCUGGUAUGUACUGGUGUUAUUGAUUUCUCCCUUCUGAUGAACCAUGAUGUCAUUCAUUUGGUGUUGUGUGGAGUCAGGACUGUUACUUUGAAAAAAUUAGAGUGUUUAAAGCAGGCUAACGCUUGAAUACAUUAGCAUGGAAUAAUGAAAUAGGACGUUUGAUCCUAUUUUGUUGGUUUCUAGGAUUGACGUAAUGAUUAAUAGGGAUAGUUGGGGGCAUUAGUAUUCAAUUGUCAGAGGUGAAAUUCUUGGAUUUAUUGAAGACUAACUACUGCGAAAGCAUUUGCCAAGGAUGUUUUCAUUAAUCAAGAACGAAAGUUAGGGGAUCGAAGACGAUCAGAUACCGUCGUAGUCUUAACCAUAAACUAUGCCGACUAGGGAUCGGAUGAUGUUAAUUUUUUAAUGACUCAUUCGGCGCCUUACGGGAAACCAAAGUGUUUGGGUUC